GACGAACGCUGGCGGCGUGCUUAACACAUGCAAGUCGAGCGGAAAGGCCCUGCUUUUGUGGGGUGCUCGAGUGGCGAACGGGUGAGUAACACGUGAGUAACCUGCCCUUGACUUUGGGAUAACUUCAGGAAACUGGGGCUAAUACCGGAUAGGAGCUCCUGCUGCAUGGUGGGGGUUGGAAAGUUUCGGCGGUUGGGGAUGGACUCGCGGCUUAUCAGCUUGUUGGUGGGGUAGUGGCUUACCAAGGCUUUGACGGGUAGCCGGCCUGAGAGGGUGACCGGCCACAUUGGGACUAAGGUAAUGCCCAGACUCCUACGGGAGGCAACAGUGGGGAAUAUUGCACGAUGGGCGGAAGCCUGAUGCAGCAACGCCGCGUGCGGAAUGACGGCCUUCAGGUUGUAAACCGCUUUCGCCUGUGACGAAGCGUGAGUGACGGUAAUGGGUAAAGAAGCACCGGCUAACUACGUG
rnacentral:rRNA from 1 species